CCGGUGAGGUGGAAACGGAUAGAGUCGGCGUAUCUUUCAAGUAUUCAUUUACAAUUUUAUCGUAUUGUGAUUUCUGAGCUCCAGAUUGGGACAGUUUUUACUUUAUUGUAAAAUUGUGAUCAUUUGCUUGUUUGGUGCGUAGGGAUGUUUGAAAUAGAUUUGUGACCUCCGUUUUGAGGCCAGCUUGCUGGUACCCAAACGGUGUUAGCAUUUUUUAUUUUGGAUAUUUGAGUAUGGCUUACGGGCGUUUAUUGGUUCGAUCUGAGUGUAAGUUACGGUCGCAUGCGACACGUGCUUUUCAAUUAGUUCGGUCCAGUUAAUGCUCUCAUACUCUUUCCCUAUGUAAAAGCCGGUCAUCUAUCCGACCCGUCUUGAAACACGGACCAAGGAGUUUAUCGUGUGCGCAAGUUUUUGGGUGUUUAAAACCUAAAAGCGCAAUGAAAGUAAAUGUUCUCUUUCGAGACUGAUGUGCGAUAUUUUUUUUUCAGGAAAAUUGCAGCAUGGCCCCAUUCUAUCUGUUUACAGAAGGGUGGCGGAAGAGCGUACGCGGUGAGACCCGAAAGAUGGUGAACUAUUCCUGAGCAGGAUGAAGCCAGAGGAAACUCUGGUGGAAGUCCGAAGCGGUUCUGACGUGCAAAUCGAUCGUCUGACUUGGGUAUAGGGGCGAAAGACUAAUCGAACCAUC
rnacentral:rRNA from 1 species